GAGUUUGAUCAUGGCUCAGAUUGAACGCUGGCGGCAGGCCUAACACAUGCAAGUCGAACGGUAACAGGAAACAGCUUGCUGUUUCGCUGACGAGUGGCGGACGGGUGAGUAAUGUCUGGGAAACUGCCUGAUUGAGGGGGAUAACUACUGGAAACGGUAGCUAAUACCGCAUAACGUCGCAAGACCAAAGAGGGGGACCUUCGGGCCUCUUGCCAUCGGAUGUGCCCAGAUGGGAUUAGCUUGUUGGUGGGGUAACGGCUCACCAAGGCGACGAUCCCUAGCUGGUCUGAGAGGAUGACCAGCCACACUGGAACUGAGACACGGUCCAGACUCCUACGGGAGGCAGCAGUGGGGAAUAUUGCACAAUGGGCGCAAGCCUGAUGCAGCCAUGCCGCGUGUAUGAAGAAGGCCUUCGGGUUGUAAAGUACUUUCAGCGGGGAGGAAGGGAGUAAAGUUAAUACCUUUGCUCAUUGACGUUACCCGCAGAAGAAGCACCGGCUAACUCCGUGCCAGCAGCCGCGGUAAUACGGAGGGUGCAAGCGUUAAUCGGAAUUACUGGGCGUAAAGCGCACGCAGGCGGUUUGUUAAGUCAGAUGUGAAAUCCCCGGGCUCAACCUGGGAACUGCAUCUGAUACUGGCAAGCUUGAGUCUCGUAGAGGGGGGUAGAAUUCCAGGUGUAGCGGUGAAAUGCGUAGAGAUCUGGAGGAAUACCGGUGGCGAAGGCGGCCCCCUGGACGAAGACUGACGCUCAGGUGCGAAAGCGUGGGGAGCAAACAGGAUUAGAUACCCUGGUAGUCCACGCCGUAAACGAUGUCGACUUGGAGGUUGUGCCCUUGAGGCGUGGCUUCCGGAGCUAACGCGUUAAGUCGACCGCCUGGGGAGUACGGCCGCAAGGUUAAAACUCAAAUGAAUUGACGGGGGCCCGCACAAGCGGUGGAGCAUGUGGUUUAAUUCGAUGCAACGCGAAGAACCUUACCUGGUCUUGACAUCCACAGAACCCUGUAGAGAUACGGGGGUGCCUUCGGGAACUGUGAGACAGGUGCUGCAUGGCUGUCGUCAGCUCGUGUUGUGAAAUGUUGGGUUAAGUCCCGCAACGAGCGCAACCCUUAUCCUUUGUUGCCAGCGGUCCGGCCGGGAACUCAAAGGAGACUGCCAGUGAUAAACUGGAGGAAGGUGGGGAUGACGUCAAGUCAUCAUGGCCCUUACGACCAGGGCUACACACGUGCUACAAUGGCGCAUACAAAGAGAAGCGACCUCGCGAGAGCAAGCGGACCUCAUAAAGUGCGUCGUAGUCCGGAUUGGAGUCUGCAACUCGACUCCAUGAAGUCGGAAUCGCUAGUAAUCGUGGAUCAGAAUGCCACGGUGAAUACGUUCCCGGGCCUUGUACACACCGCCCGUCACACCAUGGGAGUGGGUUGCAAAAGAAGUAGGUAGCUUAACCUUCGGGAGGGCGCUUACCACUUUGUGAUUCAUGACUGGGGUGAAGUCGUAACAAGGUAACCGUAGGGGAACCUGCGGUUGGAUCACC
rnacentral:rRNA from 1 species